UCGGAUAUUGUCUAGUGGCAGUACGUUCGGUUCUCAUCCGAUUGGCCCGGGUUCGAUUCCCGGUAUCCGAA